rnacentral:rRNA from 1 species
GACGAACCGGGCGAACGUUGUUCGGAAUCACUGGGCUUAAAGGGCGCGUAGGCGGGUUCUCAAGUCCGGGGUGAAAUCCCACAGCUCAACUGUGGAACUGCCUCGGAUACUGGGUGCCUCGAGGGUGGUAGGGGUAUGCGGAACUAUCGGUGGAGCGGUGAAAUGCGUUGAUAUCGAUAGGAACUCCGGUGGCGAAGGCGGCAUACUGGACCACUUCUGACGCUGAGGCGCGAAAGCCAGGGGAGCAAACGGG